rnacentral:tRNA from 1 species
GCGCUCGUAGCUCAGAUGGAUAGAGCGGCGGACUUCGAAUCCGCAGGCCGCAGGUUCGAGCCCUGCCGAGCGCGCCA